UUGUCUCAGAUGCUGGAUGCCCUCUGAGAGCAGUCACGCUGUCACGUGCAUACACGGGAGCUACGCCAAAACUUCGGGGAGGAUUAGAGGAGGCCUGGUCCAGAAACACACUGCUUUCAGAAAUGCAGGGUGAGUCGGAGAUGCCAGAAAAGAGGCGAAACGCGGGAUGAUGGGACGGUGGGAUGAUGGGAAGGCGGCCCAGACAGGGGCAUCCAGGAGAGAGGAGAAAGAACAGGGGAUGUAGAGUGGUUUGGUACUGCAGAUGGGGGGACAGGUGUGGGAAGACAGGAAACUGACGGGUGAUCAAGUCACACCGUAAGAGGCCACAGAGGACCUGCAGCCAGGGCAGGUUCUUUGGCCCACCUCCGAGGAGCUGGAGCAGAAGCCCCUGCGCGGACCUGGCCCGGCAGCAGCCGGCGUGGGCGCAGAGGGGAACGGAGAGGGUCAGGUCAGGAGGACGCAGCAGCCGCCGGGGGAGAGGAGGAGGCUGCGGACGUGCAAGGCCGCGGGAAGGGGGCCAGACACAGCCGGCAGUCAGAAGCAAGCCCCGGCCUCGGGGACAAGGUUUCUAAACAGAAUCGAGGAGGAAGUGUACCCACCCAAGGACGUCAUCACCAGCAAGGACCCAGGAUGCGAGGCCUGCUUGGGGUCUGGCUGUAGAGUUCAGUGACAAGUUCCUGAGGCCACGAGGCAGCCAGUUAGCAAGGUAUGUAGGCUUAUGUAAGAGAGAAUGAUGCUGAGAUUCUUAAGGAACUGAUCCCACACUUGUUGGAGCUGGCAUCUCUGAAACCCACAGGGUGGACUGGCAGGCUGGAGACCAGAAGAGAGUUGAUACUGCAGCGAGAGCCUGGAGAUAGAAUUUCCUCUUGAGGAGAGCUUCCAUCUUUGCUUUCAAGGCUUUUUACAGAUUGGAUGAGGCUCACCUACAUGAUGCAGGAUCAAAGGCUACUGAUUUGAUUGUUAAUCUCACUUAAAAAAUAACCUUCGAAACAACAUCUAGACUGGUGUUUCACCAAAUAAUAGCCUACCCAUUGACACAUCAGAUUUACCACAACAGUGGUGAAGUUUGAAGAAAUGGACAUCUGCGUUAGGAGGGAGUGGAAUGGAGGAGAGAGAGAGAGAGAAUGGUGCGGAAGCAGCAAUGGGGAACAAAGAAAGCGCCUACCCUUGGCCGGCCUGAUUCACCCUGGGGUAAUUCGCUACUUCCUUAAUGUUAUGCUUACAUCUAGGUGUGCUUAUAUGUAGAUGUCCUGCAAAGCCUUAUGCACUCAUAGGUGGGGCUUUUCGGAGCUGGUUGGAUCUAGGGUGUGUGAUGCUGAGAUUAGGGGU